rnacentral:lncRNA from 10 species
GUAAAUCCCAUUCUAUAUUAUAGCACUACAAACAUCCUUAGUCAUUCCUUCAUUUGUUCAUUCAUUCAUUCAUGCAUUCAGUGAGUAUUUCUUAAGCUCCUACAGUGUACCAGGAGGCACUCUGUUCAUUGUGGCAUUACAAAGAUAAAGAUUAAGGCACGUACUCUGCCCUCAAGGAGCUCCCAAUCUAAUUGUGCAGAGAGAUGUGAAAAUGAAGCAUGAAACUCCAUCGUGAGGAGCGCCGAGAACAAAAGUCUGCUCGAAGUGAGGCAGAAGUAUGGAUUCAUUCCACCACAGGUCCCAUGGGAAAGUGUUGUGGGACAUCCAGCCACAGGCAUGAAGAGAAGGAGCAAAUAAACAGUACCCUGAACCCAGAAGUUCUUCUUGGCUGCCCCCUUCUCCAUUCUUCUUGUCUCGCUCUUGGGCCUUUCUUCUCUUUGCCACAUUUACUGGCAUGAAAUGAAUUUGAGAUGUGAGCUUCAGUUCUGAGUCAGACUAUAUAUCAAGUUGUGCCAGCAACAAUAAAGGAUGGUUUUCACCUGACUUGUUGAAACCAUUCCACCUGGCAUUACACCCACUACGAAUGGGCAAUUAGCAGCAAGAGCAAAAGGUGCGACCUCAUGAGCAGGGAGAAACAAGGUGGCAGAAUUUCAAAACCAAGGUCUUCCGUAUUCACUUAGAGUUACUGUACAUGGUGGUAUAAAGGCCUCUCAGUAGAAGCACUUUGUUUAGUUCGGCUAAAAAUCA